AUUGAACGCUGGCGGCAUGCUUUACACAUGCAAGUCGAACGGUAACAGGUUAAGCUGACAAGUGGCGAACGGGUGAGUAAUGCAUCGGAACGUGCCCGAUCGUGGGGGAUAACGCAGCGAAAGCUGCGCUAAUACCGCAUACGAUCUGAGGAUGAAAGCGGGGGACCGUAAGGCCUCGCGCGAUCGGAGCGGCCGAUGUCAGAUUAGGUAGUUGGUGGGGUAAAGGCUGACACAGCCGACGAUCUGUAGCUGGUCGGAGAGGACGACCAGCCACACUGGGACUGAGACACGGCCAAGACGCCUACGGGAGGCAGCAGUGGGGAAUUUUGGACAAUGGGCGAAAGCCUGAUCCAGCAAUGCCGCGUGCAGGAAGAAGGCCUUCGGGUGGUAAACUGCUUUUGUACGGAGCGAAAAGGCUCUCUCUAAUACAGGGGGCUCAUGACGGUACCGUAAGAAUAAGCACCGGCUAACUACGUGCCAGCCGCCGCCGUAACAC
rnacentral:rRNA from 1 species